rnacentral:lncRNA from 1 species
CACCCCCAGGACGGAUGACCUCCGUCUCUUGGGUGGUCUUGGUGGACUGUCCACUCUGCUUCACCCUUAGAUCACCUUUGUGGGGGGUCACCAGUGAGAGGUGGGCAGGCAACCCCAGGUUUUCCCCACUGGGAUUUCCUGGAAUUUAUUUCUGUCUUUCACUUCUUUUCUGACAAGGAAAUAUAUGCUUGGUGUUCAAAAUUCGAAUAGUAAUACGAGGUUGUCAAGUUAAAACAUCCCCCACUUCUAACGAUAACCACAGUUAGCAAGCAGUUCACCACGAGUUUCCUGAAUGUUUUUCUCAGUCCCCUGUGGCUUCUGACCUUGGAACGUGGGCAGUGGUGGGCUGCAAGCUCCCUCGGGCCCUGGGUAGGCAUCUAUCCCCCAGUGAUAUGUGAGGGUUCUCCACUAAGAGCCGGUCUUAGCCAUGUAGACUGUCUCUCUAACUGACAUCGCAGCACAGCCGUUUUUUUUUCUCUGCCGUUCUUUCUCCUGACAUCUGGGAGGAAAGCCACUACCGAGACAGCCUUCGUGUCUGUUGGGAGGAAAUCGGUGCUUCAUAAUCUGAUAACUGCAGUGUCCUGUGUGGUGUUCUCUUGAACCAAGCUGGGACCUCAUUGUUUCUGGUACACGGUGCAAUUUUGCAACAACUUCCUUCCAGUAACAUUUGUUAUGUCUCUUGGGUUUUGCAGCCACCCUGUAGUGGGGCCAGGGUGAAACCAACCGCUGGAGAAGGCAGCCCCCUAUCUUGGGGCUUCUGCAGUCCUGGCGGGAACCUAGAGCUCCACCUGGAGAUGGACGUCACUCAUCCAGGAACACUGUCCCUAGGUCCACGCUGCCCCAAUGUGGGGCACACACUCAGACCCAAAAGGAGAGACAGCCCACUAUGCAGACAGGGUGUCACGAAUGCUGUGACGAUUGGACGUGUCAUCCCAUCUCCCUAGUCACGGUCUGUCAUGUAUAUACACAGGAGAAGCCCGGUGGAGCACUGUCGAUAUGCAAAUUUGAGCAAAUUACUCCAGCCCCUGUGCACCUAAGGUCGCGCUGCUGUAAAAGGAGAAAACACCAUGGUGGGGGCGGGGGGAAUCCAGGAAGAUCUUGA